UACGGGGGGGGCAAGCGUUGUUCGGAAUUACUGGGCGUAAAGGGCUCGUAGGCGGCCAACUAAGUCAGACGUGAAAUCCCUCGGCUUAACCGGGAACUGCGUCUGAUACUGGAUGGCUUGAGUUUGGGAGAGGGAUGCGGAAUUCCAGGUGUAGCGGUGAAAUGCGUAGAUAUCAGGAGGAACACCGAUGGCGAAGGCAGCUCGCUGGGACGGUACUGACGCUGAGGCGCGAAAGCGUGGGGAGCGAACAGG
rnacentral:rRNA from 1 species